rnacentral:rRNA from 1 species
GAGGUUAAGCGACUAAGCGUACACGGUGGAUGCCCUGGCAGUCAGAGGCGAUGAAGGACGUGCUAAUCUGCGAUAAGCGCCGGUAAGGUGAUAUGAACCGUUAUAACCGGCGAUUUCCGAAUGGGGAAACCCAGUGUGACUCGUCACACUAUCAUUAACUGAAUCCAUAGGUUAAUGAGGCGAACCGGGGGAACUGAAACAUCUAAGUACCCCGAGGAAAAGAAAUCAACCGAGAUUCCCCCAGUAGCGGCGAGCGAACGGGGAGGAGCCCAGAGCCUGAAUCAGCAUGUGUGUUAGUGGAAGCGUCUGGAAAGGCGCGCGAUACAGGGUGACAGCCCCGUACACAAAAGCGCAUGUGCUGUGAGCUCGAUGAGUAGGGCGGGACACGUGGUAUCCUGUCUGAAUAUGGGGGGACCAUCCUCCAAGGCUAAAUACUCCUGACUGACCGAUAGUGAACCAGUACCGUGAGGGAAAGGCGAAAAGAACCCCGGCGAGGGGAGUGAAAAAGAACCUGAAAC